GUCCAAGAGUGCGGUUGCAUAUGAGCUCGUGCAUUUGACGUGCACUAAUGUGACAGCAGAAAGCUGGCACAGGGAAACAAGCACACAAAAGAUGAGAGGCACCACACUGGGCGACCUGCUCUGCUCUUUUUCAGUCCCAGAGAAAAUUGCGAUUGGCUAAAUACUUCACCUCACUAUGAAAUGGAGAGAUGCACAGAAGAACAGACACCUGAUAAAUCAAUUACAGCCUGAAGUCUGGAACGCAUAGACAUCACCAGAUGCUGGGUUCCACUACAGUUACCUUUUAAAUCAUUGAUGCCCCUUGCUGUGUGCCCAACACAAUCACAACUAGGGGAUGCUGGGACCUCAUGCUGGGUGCAACAAGGUGUUGUACUAUUAAGGGAGCAGGGAGAGAUGGACAGGGGUCAGUGCAGGGGUAUAUUAACAGACAGGACAUGCUUCUGUGGUCAAACACCAGCCCACAUCUACUCUGGAGCUGGAACGAUCCGGCCUGCCGUAGACUGACCAGCUGUCAUAUCUUUAGAAUGGGCAGCAUGGACUUUGAACAGAGCGGUCGAGGUGAUUUGGUCCAUGCACAUGGACAGAAUUGAGUGGGACAGCAAUGGCCGAUGUUUAACAUGCCCCGUCUGGUGGUCCGAAGAAGUUGUACUGGGAACCGUCAUAUCCUGCCAGAGAUAGGAGGCAGGAGCUAGGAGCCUACCCCCAUGCAGGGCGGGACUCAACUGGUGGUGGUGGGGUGGUGGAGGUUGCCGUGUUAGCACACUAAAACAUCAAUGUGAUAGAUUGUGAGCAGACUUAUAAAGCAAUGGCUUACAUGUGAUUGGCUAGGAAUUACCCAGCUAAUAGUGCGAUGAUGUACAGCUGCUAGAACUACGCUGUGCUUACAUUUCAAUGAGAGUAAAACUGGCAUACGUCAAUGCAUGAAGAUGGAAGUAAUUAAUUUGUGAUUACUUUUUAUGUUAAUCAGUAAAAUAAUAGGAAUACAAUUUCAAUGAAGUAAUUAGUAAUCUGUAGUGGAUAACUUUUUGAUAGUAGUGGAUACUUUAUUACACUGCCAAGUGAUCUUUCUUUUGCCUUAAAUGAAAAAGCAAAUACAUUAAAAAUGUUUCAAAUAUGUUGGGUGCAUGUAGAGGAAUGAUGUCAUGAGAGAAAAAAAACCCUUACCUUUCUUUAUAUAGACUAGUAUGACCUCAUUGUAGAAAAAAAAAAGAUUCUUUAGUUCAUAAACUAAUGAGAAUUAAGUGAGAAUUAAGUCAGAAUGAGAAUUAAGUGAACGGGCAAACAGCCUUUCACACAGACCUUAAUCCUCCAGCUGCAAUCAAACAGCCCUCUUUUGCACAAGUGUGAGAGGUUGAGAAAUGCUGUCUCCUGUGUUUGGAUGUGAAAGCAAAGGUGUUUGUGAGAGAAAGCAAAAUGACAAGUGUGGGUGUGUGUUAAAGAGUGAGUGUGAUUAACUGCAUGCUUUUGGACUGCGGCUGUAUGGUGUUAAUCCUCUGAUCAGGAUGCUAGGAGGGCUGCAGGGCCUCAGGCCUUAGUCCGGCCCCUGAUAGACUGCCCUACUCAAAAUAAUACAUACACCUCAGUCCAUUUACAUCUUAGAGGUAACACACCGUACAUGUAAUCUCAGCCAAUGAAGGACUAAAACACGUACAAAAGGAGAGUUGAUUAAAGAUUGCCUAAUUACUCUAAUUAUGAAUGAAAAGAUAAAGAAACAAAUUGUAAGGGAUGUCAAAUAAAAUUAUUAAACAUUAAUAUACAGCCUAUCUGUGGUACUCUCUGUUGAAAGGAAACAUAGCCAAACCAGAUAAAUUCCCUUUAGAUGGGCACUGCUGGUCAUUUCACAGCAAAAAAGCCAGUGUACAAUUUUAAUCAAAUUUAACACUCCUGAAAUGUAUAUAUAUGACUCCCUCCAUUUUUAAGUU